AACAGCUGACAGCUGGGGACAGCUCCCUGAGACACACUGUCAGUGCUGCACGCCAACAGCACAGCCUUCUGGAUGUUCUCAAGAGUCACAGCAGUGCCUGGGCCAGCUCCUGAGAUCCACCCACUUUGGGGCCGCAGACACCUUCCUCACCCACCCUUUUGAUGUCUAAUUCCCUAUGUUAAAACACUUUACACUUAUAAUCCAUCAAGUGGUUUCUGUUUUUCUAACUGAAUUGUUAAAAUAUGCAAAAUUCACAUUAAAGAAGUUUCCUACCUAUCUUGUGACCUCAGUGAAUGAGAUGCUGCUUUAUCCAAUCUACUGACUUUGGAAAAUCCAGCUGAAAUGAGGAAAGAUAAUCGUGCAUGUCUGGCAACCAGGAAAGACAGAUGUUAUUUACCACCAAUGAAUUUUUAUCAUAUUUAAAUGAACUUGAAAAUGUCAUUCAACUCAAAUCCCUCAAUCAACUUACUUCAGCCCAUUCUGAAACUUCAUAUUGCAGCAAACCAGCCAUGUGAAAGAAAUAAAUUCAAUUUUGACUUUCAAAAAAAAUAAAUGCUGCAUAAGUUACCCUUGUGGACCUUAGCUAUUAAGGUGGACAAUGACUUUAUUUUCUUUACGUAAGUUUUAUAUUUUAUUAUGACAUUCAUUUUUUCUACAUGAAGACACAAAUAAAAAUUAUACCAACUACAUAAACUAUUUU
rnacentral:lncRNA from 1 species